GACGAACGCUGGCGCAGGGAGGAACACAGGCAAGUCGAACGGAAAGGCCCUGCUGUUGUGGGGUGCUCGAGUGGCGAACGGGUGAGUAACACGUGAGUAACCUGCCCUUGACUUUGGGAUAACUUCAGGAAACUGGGGCUAAUACCGGAUAGGAGCUCCUGCUGCAUGGUGGGGGUUGGAAAGUUUCGGCGGUUGGGGAUGGACUCGCGGCUUAUCAGCUUGUUGGUGGGGUAGUGGCUUACCACGGCUUUGACGGGGCGCCGGCCUGGGAGGGUGACCGGCCACAUUGGGACUGAGAUACGGCCCAGACUCCUACGGGACGCAGCAGUGGGGAAUAUUGCACAAUGGGCGGAAGCCUGAUGCAGCAACUCCCCGUGCGGGAUGACGGCCUUCGGGUUGUAAACCGCUUUCGCCUGUGACGAAGCGUGAGUGACGGUAAUGGGUAAAGAAGCACCGGCUAACUACGUG
rnacentral:rRNA from 1 species